GAGUUUGAUCAUGGCUCAGAUUGAACGCUGGCGGCAGGCCUAACACAUGCAAGUCGAACGGUAACAGGAAACAGCUUGCUGUUUCGCUGACGAGUGGCGGACGGGUGAGUAAUGUCUGGGAAACUGCCUGAUGGAGGGGGAUAACUACUGGAAACGGUAGCUAAUACCGCAUAACGUCGCAAGACCAAAGAGGGGGACCUUCGGGCCUCUUGCCAUCAGAUGUGCCCAGAUGGGAUUAGCUAGUAGGUGGGGUAACGGCUCACCUAGGCGACGAUCCCUAGCUGGUCUGAGAGGAUGACCAGCCACACUGGAACUGAGACACGGUCCAGACUCCUGCGGGAGGCAGCAGUGGGGAAUAUUGCACAAUGGGCGCAAGCCUGAUGCAGCCAUGCCGCGUGUAUGAAGAAGGCCUUCGGGUUGUAAAGUACUUUCAGCGGGGAGGAAGGGAGUAAAGUUAAUACCUUUGCUCAUUGACGUUACCCGCAGAAGAAGCACCGGCUAACUCCGUGCCAGCAGCCGCGGUAAUACGGAGGGUGCAAGCGUUAAUCGGAAUUACUGGGCGUAAAGCGCACGCAGGCGGUUUGUUAAGUCAGAUGUGAAAUCCCCGGGCUCAACCUGGGAACUGCAUCUGAUACUGGCAAGCUUGAGUCUCGUAGAGGGGGGUAGAAUUCCAGGUGUAGCGGUGAAAUGCGUAGAGAUCUGGAGGAAUACCGGUGGCGAAGGCGGCCCCCUGGACGAAGACUGACGCUCAGGUGCGAAAGCGUGGGGAGCAAACAGGAUUAGAUACCCUGGUAGUCCACGCCGUAAACGAUGUCGACUUGGAGGUUGUGCCCUUGAGGCGUGGCUUCCGGAGCUAACGCGUUAAGUCGACCGCCUGGGGAGUACGGCCGCAAGGUUAAAACUCAAAUGAAUUGACGGGGGCCCGCACAAGCGGUGGAGCAUGUGGUUUAAUUCGAUGCAACGCGAAGAACCUUACCUGGUCUUGACAUCCACGUAAGUUUUCAGAGAUGAGAAUGUGCCUUCGGGAACCGUGAGACAGGUGCUGCAUGGCUGUCGUCAGCUCGUGUUGUGAAAUGUUGGGUUAAGUCCCGCAACGAGCGCAACCCUUAUCCUUUGUUGCCAGCGGUCCGGCCGGGAACUCAAAGGAGACUGCCAGUGAUAAACUGGAGGAAGGUGGGGAUGACGUCAAGUCAUCAUGCCCUUACGACCAGGGCUACACACGUGCUACAAUGGCGCAUACAAAGAGAAGCGACCUCGCGAGAGCAAGCGGACCUCAUAAAGUGCGUCGUAGUCCGGAUUGGAGUCUGCAACUCGACUCCAUGAAGUCGGAAUCGCUAGUAAUCGUGGAUCAGAAUGCCACGGUGAAUACGUUCCCGGGCCUUGUACACACCGCCCGUCACACCAUGGGAGUGGGUUGCAAAAGAAGUAGGUAGCUUAACCUUCGGGAGGGCGCUUACCACUUUGUGAUUCAUGACUGGGGUGAAGUCGAAACAAGGUAACCGUAGGGGAACCUGCGGUUG
rnacentral:rRNA from 1 species